rnacentral:lncRNA from 1 species
UGUCUGAAGCGUUCAACUGUGGAACAUCGCUGCAUGAACGUCAGAGGAACAGUCCCCUCAUUUCAGCUGCAGUGUGACAGCUUUGAGGACAGCUCUUUAAGGGAUUUAUAUCAAGAAAGUAACAAAGGAAUGCCACCGUCUGCCAAUAAUGUAAUUAAGGAGUCAAGCCUCAUCUGAGCUUUCUCAUGCCAAAGAACUUGUUGGAUGUAAGUUGGAAAAAAAAAGAAUUCAAGUCUUCAGAGAAAAGACAGAGAGAUACUAUGAAAAAGUUCUUGAAUUUUUAACUGUUUGCUUCCUCCAGUCCCCUUAACACUCUCAGACUGAAGAAAAUGUGAAUGAUGAAAUAAUGCAGCUACUUUGAGAAGACUGAGCAAAACAAGAAGUGAUUUGAUGGGACUGGUUACUCUCAAGAACAUCGUAACGGCUUUGGAAGGCAGGUAGACUUGGAAGGGGAUCUGGAGCUCAUCUCAAAUCAACUGCAAAUGUUUGUCCCACGCUGUGGAAACGUGCUAAAAGAAUGGUCCAGAUAAACCAGAUGUUCUUGUUUGGCUUGUACCCUUCUUGAGCGUCCUGAUAAUAAUUUGGAGAUUCUUGUCUUUUCCUCUCUUUUGGCUAAGGUACAGCAUUUUCUCUUGUUCCCUAUUUCAAGGCCUGACAGUGGAAACUUCAGCUAAAAAGAGAGAUCAGAGAGAGACCUCGACCUUUACAAUGCCUGAAUGAUGCUGGGGCUCAGGUGACCCCAGGUG